AAAUUGAAGAGUUUGAUCAUGGCUCAGAUUGAACGCUGGCGGCAGGCCUAACACAUGCAAGUCGAGCGGUAGCACAGAGAGCUUGCUCUCGGGUGACGAGCGGCGGACGGGUGAGUAAUGUCUGGGAAACUGCCUGAUGGAGGGGGAUAACUACUGGAAACGGUAGCUAAUACCGCAUAACGUCGCAAGACCAAAGUGGGGGACCUUCGGGCCUCAUGCCAUCAGAUGUGCCCAGAUGGGAUUAGCUAGUAGGUGGGGUAACGGCUCACCUAGGCGACGAUCCCUAGCUGGUCUGAGAGGAUGACCAGCCACACUGGAACUGAGACACGGUCCAGACUCCUACGGGAGGCAGCAGUGGGGAAUAUUGCACAAUGGGCGCAAGCCUGAUGCAGCCAUGCCGCGUGUGUGAAGAAGGCCUUCGGGUUGUAAAGCACUUUCAGCGGGGAGGAAGGCGUUAAGGUUAAUAACCUUGGCGAUUGACGUUACCCGCAGAAGAAGCACCGGCUAACUCCGUGCCAGCAGCCGCGGUAAUACGGAGGGUGCAAGCGUUAAUCGGAAUUACUGGGCGUAAAGCGCACGCAGGCGGUCUGUCAAGUCGGAUGUGAAAUCCCCGGGCUCAACCUGGGAACUGCAUUCGAAACUGGCAGGCUAGAGUCUUGUAGAGGGGGGUAGAAUUCCAGGUGUAGCGGUGAAAUGCGUAGAGAUCUGGAGGAAUACCGGUGGCGAAGGCGGCCCCCUGGACAAAGACUGACGCUCAGGUGCGAAAGCGUGGGGAGCAAACAGGAUUAGAUACCCUGGUAGUCCACGCCGUAAACGAUGUCGAUUUGGAGGUUGUGCCCUUGAGGCGUGGCUUCCGGAGCUAACGCGUUAAAUCGACCGCCUGGGGAGUACGGCCGCAAGGUUAAAACUCAAAUGAAUUGACGGGGGCCCGCACAAGCGGUGGAGCAUGUGGUUUAAUUCGAUGCAACGCGAAGAACCUUACCUGGUCUUGACAUCCACAGAACUUNNNNNNNNNNNNNNNUUGGUGCCUUCGGGAACUGUGAGACAGGUGCUGCAUGGCUGUCGUCAGCUCGUGUUGUGAAAUGUUGGGUUAAGUCCCGCAACGAGCGCAACCCUUAUCCUUUGUUGCCAGCGGUUAGGCCGGGAACUCAAAGGAGACUGCCAGUGAUAAACUGGAGGAAGGUGGGGAUGACGUCAAGUCAUCAUGGCCCUUACGACCAGGGCUACACACGUGCUACAAUGGCAUAUACAAAGAGAAGCGACCUCGCGAGAGCAAGCGGACCUCAUAAAGUAUGUCGUAGUCCGGAUUGGAGUCUGCAACUCGACUCCAUGAAGUCGGAAUCGCUAGUAAUCGUAGAUCAGAAUGCUACGGUGAAUACGUUCCCGGGCCUUGUACACACCGCCCGUCACACCAUGGGAGUGGGUUGCAAAAGAAGUAGGUAGCUUAACCUUCGGGAGGGCGCUUACCACUUUGUGAUUCAUGACUGGGGUGAAGUCGUAACAAGGUAACCGUAGGGGAACCUGCGGUUGGAUCACCUCCUUA
rnacentral:rRNA from 1 species